rnacentral:ncRNA from 17 species
GGGAAGCCGGUGUGAACCCGGCGCUGACCCGCAACCGUGAGCCGCGCAGCGAUGCGAGGCGAGCCGGAAUGCC